CGUCCGCAAAAACAACAUGGCGGACAUAGUGAAGAAGGCAUACGAUUUUUUAAAAAUGAACGCAUUUUGCCUUUAUCCAGCAACUUCGGAGCGUCAAAUUAGCGAACAAGCAUGGGCGAAGACAUAGAAAUCAAGACCUAUCCCCACAUCCUCUUAAGUAUGUUUCUUCAAACAAUUUCAAUUGACGUAUGCAGACAACCUGGUGUUUAACGUGUGUGACAAUGCACCUGCCGAAGACCUAGAGAAGUGCCCUGACAUGAAAUAAAUUAUCUUUCUGAUU